CUUUUUUGUUUCUUGCCUCCCCUUCGCUACACCGUAAACAAGUGAGCUCUCCACAGUGACUAUUUACUAUACAUUUUCAGGUUUCCUCCAGCAGCAGUAUCUAAAGUCUGGCCAAAGGGGCAUAUGUGGCCUGUGAACAGAUGUUAUUGGCCCGUGGCUUCUUCUUAAAAUGUCUGGCCUCAACAAUGAUGGAGUAUGUAUCCACAUUCUGGAUGGAGAGAUUAAUACAAUAUGCAUGUUUAUAGAGACAUUGAAAGCUGGCAUAUAUACUCUUCUGACUCAACUGCAGCCAAUAUGCCAGUUCCCACAUGCCCCGGGCACUCUCAUAUUGCGAUGAA